UCCGGUAUGGUGUAUCGGCUAGCAUCGCCCGCUUUCAUCGACUUCUCAGCUGAGCGUCGGUCCCGGGCAGAGCCGGGUUCGACUCCCGGUACCGUAG
rnacentral:tRNA from 1 species